rnacentral:rRNA from 1 species
AUUGAACGCUGGCGGCAGGCCUAACACAUGCAAGUCGAGCGGAGCGGCGGACGGGUGAGUAAUGCCUAGGAAUCUGCCUGGUAGUGGGGGAUAAAGUCCGGAAACGGGCGCUAAUAACGCAUACUAGCAGAGGAGCCUAGGUCGGAUUAGCUAGUUGGUGGGGUAAAGGCCUCACAAGGAGACGAGCCGUAACUGGUUUGAGAGGAUGAUCAGUCACACUGGAACUGAGACACGGUCCAGACUCCUACGGGAGGCAGCAGUGGGGAAUAUUGGACAAUGGGCGAAAGCCUGAUCCAGCCAUGCCGCGUGUGUGAAGAAGGUCUUCGGAUUGUAAUGCACUUUAAGUUGGGAGGCGUUACCUACAGAAUAAGCACCGGCUAACUUCGUGCCAGCAGCCGCGGUAAUUC